UCAUUCUUUCCUAAAAUAACUCUUCAAAAUAGAUAUUAUCAUCACCAUUUUAUUGAUGAGUAUAUUACGUCCUGAAAGGUGAAGUAACUCAUUCAGGACUGCAUGGCUAUUUCAGUGCAGUUCCUGGGGCACUUGAGUCCAGUCCUGAAUUCUUCCCACUACCGCCAAGGAGGCUAAAGCCACUCGUGCAGGAUCUCGAAUGCUGGCAACUAUCACUUUUAAGUAGAGCAGUUGGGAAUGGGAGUCUGAACUGGUGAUGGCCGGAGAAAGAAAAAAAGAGGCUUAAUUCUAGACAUACUGUUGAGUUAAACCAAUAGGUCAGUGGUUCUCAAAGUGUUUCCAGGCCAGCAGUAUUAGCAUCUCCUGGGAACUUACUAGAAAUACAAAUCCAACUACCAAAUUGGAAAUUUUCGUGGUGGGGUCCAGAAAUCUCUGUGUUAACAAGAUCUCCAGGGGAUUUUGACAUGUAUUCAUGUUUGAAUGAUUCUGUCAUAGACCAUAUCGAUGAGCUGGAUUUGAGAAGUUGGGAGUGGAGUCAUGGAUGCAGAUUAAGACAAUGGCAAAGAGGCUAACACUGGUCACAGUGGCCAAGAAAAAUAUGAAGAGGAAACGGAAACCUAACAAAGAUCCCAUUCCAUGAGCAAACAGAGCAGACAUUAAGAGCCUCAGAGAGGAAAUACCACACUCAAGAUGCAACCAAGAAGAAUUAGCCAGAAUAUGAUUCUCAGAGACGGGCUCAUCUACUGGAUUUCACACAGGACCAUGGAUGGAGAAGAAGAUAAUGAUGCAAGAUGACCAUCAGAAGAGGUAACACUAACCAUGAUGCCCAAUCAGAUCUUCACCUAGUUGGGUCAGAGAAAUAAUAUGGUUUAAAUUCAGUGAUUUUGUUGGGUCACAAAGAUGACGUCAGCUGGGGUCAAAUGGCUCUGGCUCAGUUAUAUCAAUUGUGCAAAGGCAGCCCUUGAAAAUGCUUGUCUGGGCAUCAGAAUGGGGCUGGAAUACUUUAAUGUAAACUAAGAUGGUCUCAGACAAAUAGUUAUUUUCACACAGAAUUUUAGCCCCAGGAAGGAUAAUAACUGCAGUGGAUUCAUCCCAGUAAUGGGCCCAGUUUGUUCAUGCCUCCUGCUUACAUGCUUUUUGGUAGUUUUUAUCACACUGACUCUAGGCUUGGUCAUGGAACUUAUUCUGGCCAAUGGGGCAGGAGCAAUGGUGAUAUAAGCAGGAACAAGAAGAGUACUUGAGCCCUGGCCCUCUCACUGCUCUUGAGGUCCUGCUGAGCUGCCAUAUUGAAUAAGACUGCUGGAAGUUGAGAAAACACAUGAGCUGAGCUGAGCCAUUCCAGCUGAGCCAUCUUACACCAGCCAGACCUUAGUGGACCUGGCAACUGACAACAGCUACAAGAGUGUGCCCAGCCAACAUCAACUGUGUCUAGUCCAAAGAGGCAGAAUCACCCAGCUAAGCCCAGCCAGAUUGCCAUUACUUAGGAUAGUGACUAAAUAAAUGAUGAUUGUUUCAAGUCAUUAUAUUCUGGAAUGGUUUAUUAUAUAGCAAUGCCUGUCUGAUAUAACAUUCUUGCUUCAUAAUACUUGAUAUAAAAA